UACGUAGGGGGCGAGCGUUGUCCGGAAUUACUGGGUGUAAAGGGCGUGUAGGCGGGGAUGCAAGUUAUCGGUAAAAACCCCAGGCUCAACUUGGGGCUUGCCGAUAAAACUGCAACUCUUGAGUGCAGGAGAGGGAAGUGGAAUUCCCGGAGUAGCGGUGAAAUGCGUAGAUACCGGGAGGAACACCAGUGGCGAAGGCGGCUUCCUGGCCUGUAACUGACGCUGAGGCGCGAAAGCUGGGGGAGCGAACGGG
rnacentral:rRNA from 1 species